UCCCCUCUUUCCACUCCCCACGCUUCCCUGUGCAGCCGCCGCCUUCCCCCCGCUCUCCCCAUCUCAUCAGAGCCACCCGGCCGGACUCCUUCUUGGCCCCAAGAAGCCCCCGUUCUGCCCCGCGUCGGAGUUCAGCGGUAGGGGAGCAGCGGAUCGAUGACGACGAGGAUGAGAGAUCGAUGGAGCGAGCAGCCAUUGCAGAGGAUAGAUCGAGGAGGGAGCGAGCCAGGAGGUGCCGCCGGUCGGUCGCCGCCUCACCACUGGCUACCCUUCUCUUUCCCUCUACAUCGCCUUCUUCCUCCAUGCUCUCCAAAUCCUGCCUGAGGUCGUCGCGCUUCACCUGGUUCUAGAUCGGCAGCAGCUAGACGAGGUCGUUCGUGGGGUGAAAGAGCAGGGAGGCAGGCAAGCGACGAGGGCAAGAAGAAGCCAGCCCGUCGCGCUUGGCUCGAGCUGCAGGGAAGAGGGAGGAGUCCCGAGAGAGGGUGAAGGAGCGGGCUGGACCUUGUGAGGCGGUGCCGCCGGCCAGGGGACGUUGUUAGUGCGCUCGGCGCCGUCCUUCUCACCCCGAGUUUGCCUCCCUCUCCCCUUCCGGCGCAGAUCACCGGGGCUGCUCUCAUUUGUUUGAUUUGGUAUUGUUCCUUCCAUUCUGCUACUCAUUGUUAUCAUACCAAGGUGAGGUGUUCUUCAGUUACGAUGCUCCUGGCCUGUUUGAUGAAACUUUUAUGAGCUGGUAUGCUGUUUGUUCUCUCUUUUCCUUCUUGUUGCAGGCGGGUUUACCUUCUCUGUUGGUUCUUGGGUCCUCCAUGUCGUGAGCCAUCAAGGUUGGACAGCCUCUCUUCUGAGCUUUUGUCUACUCAAAGUGAUGUGAGCUGAUUCGUUGGUUUGCGCAACCUCGCUGUGUGGUCAGCCCGGUUCGCAGCUAGGCCAUGCUUCCCUCCGGAUUCUGGCAUGGUGUUCGGGUGCCUUUCUUGGUUCAGUUCCGAGUCAGAAGCAAUGCCAUCAUUUUUACCUAAAUCUUGCAUAUACGUUUGAUUGCAGCGGCUGAUUCCUGUGUCAUGCCUGGACUUGCUAGAUCGGUUAGAGUUUGUUUAUUAUGCCUUCGGCAUCCCCUGGAUUUUUACUUGGGUGUCAUGUGGUGGUUAUUUGAUAUGUGGUCUAGGAAGAGCCCACUUAUUCUACAUUGGGCGUCUUUUGCUGCAUUUCUACUUGUAUGUGCUUUCAUGUGUUUUGGGAUGACCCAAUGCAUUUUAGUUCAUCUAUAUGUACAUCUUCCUGAAGUCUUUCUGUUCCCUCUGUUUUUUCUUAGGUUGUAUAUAGAUGAGCACAUAGGACCAUGACUGGAUGGUUUCAUGUAACCAUACAUCCCUAUAACACGGUUCAAUGAAUGGUCUGUUGCUACUUUUCCCCAAGUUAUGAUUUUGGGAGUGAUUUAGGAUUGGCUGGCACUUCUUCGGACUUCAGUUAUGAGGAAAUGGGUCGACACAAUUUACAAGAUGGUGCUCAGCGAGCUGGGCUCUGGUUCCACCAAUAUGAAUGUCUAGCCUCAAACUUGCCUUACUUUUUUGGAAUUACUCUUUUUAUCUGUUGGAUCAUUCUUUUGUUAGUAAGAAAUGUCUGCAUUUUAGUGUAACCUAAACCUGCUCAUUCUAGUCAUUGGUUGAUAUCAGUAGUGGAAUGUUGUCUUUUCUUCUCAUUAUUAUUUCAGGUCGUUAGAUUCACGCAUUACAGAUUACUGUAUUUAGUUGUGUCAUGAUUAUUGCAUGCAUUCUAUUUACUGAAAAGUGAAAACACCCACCACUACAAUAUCUUCAUAAGAAUCUUUUUUCUACAGUUAGCACAAAAAGAUGCUUUUGGCCUACUACAUGAACUCGUUCUUGCCGACUUCAUCCUCUGUUUAUUUUCUCAUGUUUGAUAAAAUAUCUGUGAGCUCAACCAUUCUGUGAUUCAUGUUUCCUUGCCGUGUAGGUUCUUUGUUGGUUCGUGGGAUGUCUGUGUCGUUAACCAACAAGGUUGGAUCUGUUCUGAUUCGCUUGGUUGAUUAGUGCUUGAUGAGCAGCCUAUGAACCCGUGCGUUUGUGCGACCAGCUUCCCUGUCUAUUUGUUUUUUUGGUUCAUCUACCAUACUUGUUGUACUAUGUAUGGGAUUUUUCUUCAGAUCUCGUCAGGAAAACAACUUUCUUUAUGAUUGUCCUGCUGGUUUAGUCCUAUGCAUACACCGUCUUCUUCCUGGUUGAUUAGGUGCUUGUAGGCCAUUGGUUUGUGCCCGUGCUUGUAUAGUAUGGCCUGUUUUCUUAGCUUUUGCUAAUUCCCAGUAAACUACAAGACUCUCUCGAGUUAGUGCAUUAAAAGAAAUAUAUGCAGCAAGUGAUAGUUAAAUAAAUAUGUAGGUUAAAAAAUACAGUCAGACCUAUACACCACUUGCUUAUUGUUUUUAAACAUGCUUGCUUUUUCUUUUAUCUUUCAUAAAUCUCUGAUUCCUUUUCAGUUUUCUGAUUUCCUUUUGUUCUACAUUUCAGUUCAUCUAUAUGUACUUCUUCCUAAAGUCUUUAUGUUUGUGCUGCAAAUCUUGUCGCUCUUGCACUGUCUUGUUGGCUCAAGCUUCUCAGUGCAAAGGUUUGUGAUUCCUCUUCCGGUUCUAUUUUCUUUUGCUCCUGUGAUGUAUAAUGAUUGACUGCGCUUAAGUUUGUCCGUUUCAUUUAUGUGUUUGGGGUGUCUAUGUACAGUUUAUCUGUUCUAUCUGGUGCAUCGUGUGCUAAACUUCUAGCUGGAUGUGCUUUGAUUGGUUAGCAUGUGUGGUCUAGCCUGAGCCAAUGCAUUUGAAGUCUGUCAAUUUCUGAAUUUUUUCUGUUCCUUGCUUGCAUGUGCUAGGAUUGGUUAUAUGCAAGGAAGAAUGGAAUUAAGAGGGAGAUGAAGAGUGAGAGGCAAAACGCCAGGGAAAAAGAUAGCUAGACAGCAAAUGAUGUAGCAUAUAGGUUGCUAAAAUAGAUUGCUACUCUCCUGUUUAAUUAAAUGUCCAUGGGUUGAUUUCAGUUCUGUGCUUGGGGUCAGCAUAUUCAUUAAGGCUGAUCUAUUCUAACUCGGCCAUUUUUUGCCUACACUGAGCAAAUGCAUAAGAGUUGUUCUAUUUCUGAA